AAAAAUUAUUAACCUCCUGGAUGAGGAAACUGAGGCUCAGAGAGUCUUUUAAAGUAACAUUCCUACAGCUGCCAGCUUUGUGUAUGGCGGGACCAUGGCCGCAGCCCAGUUCAGAGGGCCAAGGAGUGCUUUCACCACCAAGCCCAUCACUGCACAGGGUGGGGAAACAGGGCUUGAGAGCCACCCCCGGUCUUGCUGGGAGUGGGCUGGAGUGACACUCCUUGAACACCCCCCAUGUGCCCGUCAGAGAGCCUGGCGCCUCCCACUCCACCAGUUCCCCGUGACGGUGGAAUGAGGUUCGCUGCGUGCCACACUCUGGAAACUCUAAAGUGCCCUCUGGCCUCAGAGGUCCUUGUUAACCACGCAACCCUCACCCGCUUCAUUCAUAGCCUGACUGACAGAGGGGGCCUGAGAGUUCAGGGGCAACAGGGACACCUGGAGAACUUGUUACCAUGCAGAUGGUCGCGCCUAGCCCCACAGAUUCUGAUUCCGUUGGUUGGGGCCAGGCCAGGGACUAUGCAUUUCUGACAACGGCCC
rnacentral:lncRNA from 1 species